ACGCUCGACACCUACGCGAGGCAGCAGUGGGGAAUAUUGCACAAUGGGGGAAACCCUGAUGCAGCGACGCCGCGUGAGCGAAGAAGUAUUUCGGUAUGUAAAGCUCUAUCAGCAGGAAAGAAGAAAGACGGUACCUGACUAAGAAGCCCCGGCUAACUACGUGUCAGCAGCCGCGGUAAUCUGAGCGGGCUGGCAAGGC
rnacentral:rRNA from 1 species